rnacentral:sRNA from 1 species
GAGACAGGUGGGGUACUCGGGAAGCUGGAGCGGGCCGGCGGUGCAGUCGCGGGGGAGCGAGGCCUGCUGAGCUUGGCAACGAGGGACUCGGCCUCGGAGGCGACCCAGACCACACAGACACUGGGUCAAGGAGUAAGCAGAGGAUAAACAACUGGAAGGAGAGCAAGCACAAAAGUCAUCAUGGCUUCAGCGUCUGCUCGUGGAAACCAAGAUAAAGAUCCCCAUUUUCCACCACCAAGCAAGCAGGUUAUUUGGCAGCUAAUUCUAGAUUUGGAUCAUUGCCCAAAGUUGCACGCACUGCCUCCUUACCUGUGAGGAAUGCAAAAUAAAGCAUGGAUUAAGUGAGAAGGGAGACUCUCAGGCUUCAGCUUCCUAAAUUCUGUGUCUGUGACUUUCGAAGUUUUUUAAACCUCUGAAUUUGUACACAUUUAAAAUUUCAAGUGUACUUUAAAAUAAAAUA